GACUACUGGGGUAUCUAAGCCUGUUCGCUACCCACGCUUUCGCGCCUCAGUGUCAGUAUCGGUCCAGGGUGUCGCCUUCGCCACUGAUGUUCCUUCCUAUAUCUACGCAUUUCACCGCUACACAGGAAAUUCCACACCCCUCUACCAUACUCUAGCCUGGCAGUUCGACAUGCAGUUCCCAGGUUAAGCCCGGGGAUUUCACAUAUCGCUUACCAAACCACCUACGCGCGCUUUACGCCCAGUAAUUCCGAUUAACGCUCGCACCCUUCGUAUUACCGCGGCUGCUGGCACGAAGUUUGCCGGUGCUUAUUCUGCGGGUAACGUCAAUCCCCAUGGAUAUUAGCCAUAGAGCCUUCCUCCCCGCUUAAAGUGCUUUACAACCCGAAGGCCUUCUUCACACACGCGGCAUGGCUGGAUCAGGGUUGCCCCCAUUGUCCAAUAUUCCCCACUGCAGCCUCCCGUAGG
rnacentral:rRNA from 1 species